rnacentral:rRNA from 1 species
AAAAUCCGGGGGGCUAAGCUGAGGCGUGAUGACGAGGAACCACGGUUCCGAAGUGAUUGAUACCAAACUUCCAGGAAAAGCCACUAAGCUUCAGUCUAGAGUUGACCGUACCGCAAACCGACACAGGUGGGCAGGAUGAAAAUUCUAAGGCGCUUGAGAGAACUCAGGAGAAGGAACUCGGCAAAUUAACACCGUAACUUCGGGAGAAGGUGUGCCCCGGUAGCGUGUAGAGACUUGCUCUCGAAGCGCGAUGGGGUUGCAGUGAAAUGGUGGCUGCGACUGUUUAAUAAAAACACAGCACUCUGCAAACACGAAAGUGGACGUAUAGGGUGUGACGCCUGCCCGGUGCCGGAAGGUUAAGUGAUGGGGUGCAAGCUCUUGAUCGAAGCCCCGGUAAACGGCGGCCGUAACUAUAACGGUCCUAAGGUAGCGAAAUUCCUUGUCGGGUAAGUUCCGACCUGCACGAAUGGCGUAACGAUGGCCACACUGUCUCCUCCUGGGACUCAGCGAAGUUGAAAUGUUUGUGAAGAUGCAAUCUACCCGCGGCUAGACGGAAAGACCCCAUGAACCUUUACUGUAGCUUUGCAUUGGACUUUGAACCGGUUUGUGUAGGAUAGGUGGGAGACUGUGAAGCCGGGACGCUAGUUUCGGUGGAGUCAACCUUGAAAUACCACCCUGAUUUGUUUGAGGUUCUAACCUUGGUCCGUGAAUCCGGAUCGGGGACCGUGCAUGGUAGGCAGUUUGACUGGGGCGGUCUCCUCCCAAAAGGUAACGGAGGAGUACGAAGGUACGCUUAGGGCGGUCGGACAUCGCCCACAAAGUGCAAUGGCAAAAGCGUGCUUGACUGCGAGACCCACAAGUCGAGCAGGUACGAAAGUAGGUCAUAGUGAUCCGGUGGUUCUGUAUGGAAGGGCCAUCGCUCAACGGAUAAAAGGUACUCUGGGGAUAACAGGCUAAUUCCUCCCAAGAGUUCAUAUCGACGGGGGAGUUUGGCACCUCGAUGUCGGCUCAUCACAUCCUGGGGCUGUAGUCGGUCCCAAGGGUAUGGCUGUUCGCCAUUUAAAGUGGUACGCGAGCUGGGUUUAAAACGUCGUGAGACAGUUUGGUCCCUAUCUGCCGUGGGCGCUGGAAAUUUGAAGGGGGCUGCUCCUAGUACGAGAGGACCGGAGUGGACGAACCUCUGGUGUACCGGUUAUGACGCCAGUCGUAUCGCCGGGUAGCUAAGUUCGGAAGAGAUAAACGCUGAAAGCAUCUAAGCGUGAAACUCGCCUUAAGAUAAGAUUUCCCGGAGUCUUGAACUCCCUGAAGGGUCGUCGAAGACCACGACGUUGAUAGGUCAGGUGUGGAAGCGCAGCAAUGCGUUAAGCUAACUGAUACUAAUUGCCCGUGUGGCUUGAUCCU